rnacentral:tRNA from 1 species
GUCACGAUAGAAUAUAUCUAAGGCAAGUUCGCUGGAUUUUUUCCAGAGGUUUCGGUUCGAAUCCGGCUCGUGACA